rnacentral:rRNA from 1 species
UACGUAGGCAGCGAGCGUUGUUCGGAAUUACUGGGCGUAAAGAGUGUGUAGGCGGUGUUCCCAGUCUGUUGUGAAAUCUCCCGGCUUAACUGGGAGGGUGCAGCGGAAACUAGAAUGCUAGAGGGUGGGAGAGGUAAGCGGAAUUCCUGGUGUAGCGGUGAAAUUCGUAGAUAUUCGGAAGAACACCAGUGGCGAAGGCGACUUACUGGACACAUAUUGACGCUGAGGUGCGAAAGCGUGGGGAGCAAACAGG